CGGAGCUCCAGCCUCAGAGCUCAUGCUCCCGGCAGCAACAAGAGGGAGAAGCAGAAAGAAGGGCCUGCUUCUCUCUCCUGGGAAAUAUCUGGAAGCCGCACAAGUCACUUCCCUUCCCGUCCUGGGGGAGAGCUGGGUUCCACACCCAGCCCGCUGCAGAGGAGGCUGGGAACUCUGUGAUCCUGGGUGGCCACAUGCCCAGCUAGGAGUCAGGGGUUCAGUUGCUCUGAGAAGUGGACGAUGCCAUUGGGAGCCACCAGAACCUCUGCCACACCCCUGUUAAUGUUUCCUCCCACCACCCCCACCACUCUGUACCCUUUCAUGUUCCAUGAAAAAUGGUCCAUCAGACCAAUUGCAUUAAGUAAUUUGUAAUUCAGGAGCCAGCUGAAAAUCCUGGGCCGGCGGGGGCUUUCAUUCGAUGUGCUGGCAAAUCCCUGGUGGGGCCCCACACUGACUCCGGUUCCCUCCCACCACAGCCCACUGUGCACGUGCAGCCAGAGGCGUCUUCUCCAAUGGAGGCCGAGCACGUCUCCUCCUGCUCAUGAUCCCCUGCUCCUUAGAACCUGACCCAGGGCCCUUGUUGUGGAACUGAGCUUGGACUAACGAGGGAGCUGAGAGGCAGCUGCUGGCCAGCCAGCCAGGGCCCAAGCUGUCAGAAGAGAAGGAGAAAGCCUCAUUAGCAGAACAUGUCACUAUCGGAGCUGACUGCUUUCCAGGCCUGAGCUGGGGGAUGUCUAAGUUUGGAGAUGCAGAGCACAGUGCACCAUGGGAGCGGUCCCAGAAACAAGGGGUGCUGGUCCACCCCACUCCCCAGUCUCGCACCUGCCUCUGUCUUGUAUGUGCCUGCCACUGCAGCCUCCUGUCUGGAAUGCCUCCUCUGAUUCCUGUGGGCAGAGCCACGCAUCAGGCCCCGCUAGAUGGCCACCUCGGUUUAGAUGCUGUUCCGAUGCUGCCAGCAGGGGGUGAGCGUGUGCUGUGCUGGGCACGUCCUGCCUCUGCCCCUGGAACAGGGGACUGUCCUCUAGUUGGGUCCCCGUCUUCUCUUCCCAGCUGGGCCGUGCUCUUCCAGUGGGAUCUAUGCCUGAUUCACCUCGGGUAGCGCGAUGGAGUCUGGCCAGGUGCCCGGCAUGUGGGCUUCACAGAGGGCCCUGCUCUCCGUGGGUGAAGGAAAAUCUUCUCUGCCCGCUCAGAUGCUGGGACCGUCCCAGGGCCGUCUCGUGAGCAGGUGGAAAGACUCUGCAUGCAGUGUCACCGGCCUUGCAAGCAGCAGCCAGCGGCCUCCUGGACAUCCUCAGGCUUCUGAGGAGCCCCUGCGGAAGCUCCCUGACACACGACCCUCCCUCUGGACCCCAAGAUGUCUGGCUUCCUGUGGAGCUCCCUUAGACAUGGAGCUGGGUGAGCAGCCCAGACCUCGGUCAGCACUCCCAGGGGGAUCGCUCUGCGCCACUGUCAUAAAAGGGAGAUGUCGUCCCAGUGGACAGGCCCAACUCCUGCAUUACAGUCAGAAAACUCAGCAUCACGUGGAAAUGACCCGAGGCUGCUUUGAGGGCCCAAACCCGUGCCGCAGUCCAGGCUCUGAGGUUUCACCUCAGUGGGGCUGAAAUGCAGACCUGCAGUGAGGGUGGCCUCUCCUUGUGAGCCCUGGCGCCUCCAGGUCAUCCUCUAGGUUCACUGAGCAUUUGGACACGAUGCUUCUUAGGCCACGGAGGUGCCAGCUCCCUUCUGAAUUGAAUCCAUGCAGAGUGCCACUCUGGUUGGCACAGCUCUGUGGGGCACUGGACUGAGGCCUCUCGCCCACACGUCACCGCCCAUCCAUGUGUCCUCCUUGCACGGCCCCCACUCACAGCGGUAGGCACCACCCUGGGCCAAACCCCCACACUGCUGGCUGGCUCCGGAUUCCGCGUCUCACCUCCACGUAAAAUGCAGGGGGGCAGCUCCACCUCUCGCUCUGGGAUGGGACCUGCCGGGACCUUACACGGGCUGUACCCUGUUCCGCUUGCCAGGCCGGGUCCUGCUGGGCAGGCAGCAGCACAGGCCUCGGAG
ensembl:lncRNA